GAUGAACGCUGGCUACAGGCUUAACACAUGCAAGUCGAGGGGAAACGACGGGGAAGCUUGCUUCCCCGGGCGUCGACCGGCGCACGGGUGAGUAACGCGUAUCCAACCUGCCUCUGACUGAGGGAUAACCCGUCGAAAGUCGGCCUAAUACCUCAUGGUAUCGUCUGCGGGCAUCCAACGACGAUUAAAGAUUUCAUCGGUCAGGGAUGGGGAGGCGUCUGAUUAGCUUGUUGGCGGGGUAACGGCCCACCAAGGCUACGAUCAGUAGGGGUUCUGAGAGGAAGGUCCCCCACAUUGGAACUGAGACCCGGUCCAAACUCCUACGGGCGGCAGCAGUGAGGAAUAUUGGUCAAUGGGCGAGAGCCUGAACCAGCCAAGUAGCGUGCAGGAAGACGGCGCUAUGGGUUGUAAACUGCUUUUAUGCGGGGAUAAAGUGAGGGACGUGUCCCUAAUUGCAGGUACCGCAUGAAUAAGGACCGGCUAAUUCCGUG
rnacentral:rRNA from 1 species